AGCGAACGCUGGCGGCAGGCCUAACACAUGCAAGUCGAACGAACCCUUCGGGGUUAGUGGCGGACGGAUGAGUAACACGUGGGAACGUGCCUUUAGGUUCGGAAUAACUCAGGGAAACUUGUGCUAAUACCGAAUGUGCCCUUCGGGGGAAAGAUUUAUCGCCUUUAGAGCGGCCCGCGUCUGAUUAGCUAGUUGGUGAGGUAAUGGCUCACCAAGGCUACGAUCAGUAGCUGGUCUGAGAGGAUGACCAGCCACAUUGGGACUGAGACACGGCCCAAACUCCUACGGGAGGCAGCAGUGGGGAAUCUUGCGCAAUGGGCGAAAGCCUGACGCAGCCAUGCCGCGUGGAUGAUGAGGGUCUUAGGAUUGUAAAAUCCUUUCACCGGUGAAGAUAAUGACUGUAGCCGGAGAAGAAGCCCCGGCUAACUUCGUGCCAGCAGCCGCCGUAACAC
rnacentral:rRNA from 1 species